rnacentral:rRNA from 1 species
CACGUAGGGGACGAGCGUUGUCCGGAUUUAUUGGGCGUAAAGAGCUCGUAGGUGGUUCGGCAAGUCAGUUGUGAAAUCUCCGCGCUCAACGCGGAGGGGUCAGCUGAAACUGCUGUGACUUGAGUCUGGUAGGGGAGUGUGGAAUUCCCGGUGUAGCGGUGAAAUGCGCAGAUAUCGGGAGGAACACCAGUGGCGAAGGCGGCACUCUGGGCCAGUACUGACACUGAGGAGCGAAAGCGUGGGGAGCGAACAGG